GACAGCAUGGCGUAGUGGUUUGAGCAUUGGACUACGACUCUGGAGACCAGGGUUCGAUUCCCCGCUCGGCCA
rnacentral:tRNA from 1 species